UGCCUGCGCGUCUGUAUACACAUAUAGCAAAUAUUGAUGUGCAAAGGCAUGUGUACAUGGGGAAAUAUCAUGACCAAAAGUUAUAAUCGGUCAUAAGUUAAAAAAAGAAAUUUUGAACUUACAGGAUUGAUUGGAGGCACAAAAUUACUUUGUGCAAAUAUAAGUCAUUAGCCUUGUAAAGCAAUAUAAAAAAAGGUGCAAACUUUGUGCUACAUGAAGUUUAUGAUUUUAUCCCAAACCAUUUGGCACCUUGCAACUGGUAAUGAUGCUAGCAACAUUAACAAAAAGUAACUAAGCAAACAUCACAGGGCAACGAAGGAAGAGAUGCAGAUCAAAAUGCACUUCAAGCCAUCAGGCAUAUUCAUAGAAUAAGUGCUGAUGUUCAGCUAUGCUAAAGCUAUGCUAGUUCAACCUGAAGAGAACAACAAAUGCAAAAACUAAAAUAAUGUGUGCAUGUGUUACCCAGCAAUACCCGUUUGAUUCCUAAUACACAAGAAUUAAGAGUCAAAGAGCUACCUAGUCUUGGCACCAAUACAGACCUAUUCAAGACAUCUUUUUUCCACUGUCUUAGAUAUAACAAAGAACCAACACUGCAUAGUGUAGUAAAGCCCCUAAUGAAGACAUCCAAGCAUGAAUAAGAAACAAUACAUGCAACUUUGACUACACCAUC
rnacentral:lncRNA from 1 species